GUAAGAUUUGCGUUCGGAGUUUUCAUUUCGGUAAUAAGGGCCAAACCCCCUCAGCUGAUUCAACUGAUUUGACAGCAGUGAAUACACACAUGAAGAAGAAACUAUUGUAUAACACUUUGACAGACAUAAAACCCUGAGCAAAUACACGAUGCACUGUCUUAUCAGUUCGACUACCAACCAAGUGAGUUGCGUUUUAUUAAUAACAGAAGGAAGAAAGUUUCAGUGACGGCGAGGAUAAAAGUGAAGUAGUGAAGUUUUGAGUGAAGGAAGAGUAGAGUAGCUAGAAUCUGCGAACCUAGAAGUGCGGGAAAAAAGUAGUUGCUAGCCGGAGCGUCGUCGACGGUGUGGAAAAGGCCAACAGAUAGCUUGGUGGAAACGGAGGUGCCAUAACGACCAUUGAUUAACUGGGCUAGCUAGUAUUCAAUACCAAGCCGGUCGGAAGCGACGCAGUUCGAUUAGCCAGUGUCUUGCGCUGUUGGAGCGACACCAGUGGUUCCUGAAGGUCAAUCGAGUGUGGUUGGUGAUUUGAGGAACUCGCACGAAAGAAAUCUCGUUUCGAGCAAACUUAUUUCAAGUGCCGGGCCAGCGAUUGACCACAUGCGAAGGGACCAUAACGGUGGGAAGUCUCGAGCUGCCAUUCCGGUGCUUUUGGAGUGGAUCGGAGCAAGCGCGUGCCGGACAAGCCAAACCAGGCGGCGCGGCGCAAACGGGAUUUGGACUCCAACAACAAAGUAAAAAUCAUCAAGAUCUCGUUGGGGAGUCACCUGAUCUCGGCCGACAGGGGGCAGAUUAGACUCGUUGACAGAGACGAACGUCGGCGCAAGAUGGCGCUUCUAAAGGCCGUGGAAUCGAAUGACAGGCGUGGAGCGAAAAGGCGGCGUGCGGUGUCCGAAGAUGAACCACCCUUUCUAGGGUUUUCUCCACCGCCCCCAACUGGAAAUGAACUACACCCUCAGGCGCUACGGUUCGGUUCCCCGAUCUCGAAACGGAAGGCUAUCCAAAAUCCUGCGAACAACGAGAAAGAACUUAGGCGAUCGUCUCGAGUGCCGAAGAAAAUCAACGACAAUAUGUUCGUGUACUUUAAAUAAUCAUUGAAUUGUUCCGAAGUUUUAAAUAUGUUAAUGAUAGUUAUUGUCAUGAUCAAUGUUUGAUUAAUGAGUUCUGAAUACAUAGCUUUGAAGAAUGAUA